ensembl:lncRNA
AUUUAUUGAACAGCCUUUAACAAGGUCUUUUUUAUUUUAUCAUAGAAAAGAAACAUUUAGCGUACAAAUGUAUCGUGUGUGUACAAAUCAAAAGAGGUGUUUUAUCAUUAAGACAAUAAGUCCGAUGAAUUCGUUUAAAUGUUUACCAGUUGAGACGUUGAUUUUAUAAAAUUGCCAUAAAAAUGUUUUGCUGAAUAACUUAUCACUGACAUGUUGGUUUGUUAAAUAAUACACAGUGCUACCAACAACCAAACAUUUCUUCUAUUUCUUUUAAUACCAGAUGACAGUAGCAUUUACAAUCAGAGAAAAGUUACAUUAAAAAAGAAAGAUAAAAAUCUAAAAGAUCUUUAAAAUAAUAUUUUUAAGAAGGCUUUCAGUAUAGCACACAUUUAAAUGGUACAGAGAUUUCACAAUUGUAAUGGCAAUGGAGAAUAAUAAAACCCAUGUUCUAAUUUUAUUCUAUUAUACCAUAGUGGUAUUUUUCCUAACCCAAGUACUACAGUUCUCUAUUUAAAGACAAUGUUGAGUGUUGGUCACGCAGGUCUCAUUUGAGUGAGAUUUUCUAGUUCAGGAGAUCAGAUUUUUGUUUUACGGAGCCAACGCGUCUUGCAUCUACCUUCUUCCCAUGACUCGUUUUGUAAAAAACACGCAUGUCACCUAAUGUCUCAAUGUGCAAACCACUCGUAUGGAAGCCAAGACCACAGCUUCCACUCUGGUAUCAAAUAUCAAACCACAAGUCCUAAAUCAGACCACUGACGGAGCACAAUGUAAAACACUGUUUGAUAUGGGAAAAAAGCACACUGAUCCUUAUAAAAAAUACACAGAUCAUCAAACAAAGUUUUACCAAGAAACAAGAAACUAUUUUCAUGUUUGUUCACUAGUCUGGAGGGAAGGAGUAUAUUAUACUGCAUUGAUAAGACACAUUUCUAUGAAUGUAUAAGAGGAAACGGGUCCUUCACUGAACUACUGUUCUAUCCUAAAGGAAAUGUCGGUACUUUCCCCAAAUUGAAGUCAGAAAGUCAGCACUCGAGGCGUCAAACCAGCACAAUAAUGACCUCAUACAGUGACAAAGCUUUUAUUAAGCCUCCAACCGCCUGAAUGCCACCUUUUUACCGGACACCGUUUUGGGACACCGUUUGAGAGUCCUACAGUAAAAAGAUAGAUGGUAGGUUUAAUAUAAAGCAUCUACAAAAGUUGGACAAAUCCAACACAUGCGAAGCUUAAAAGUCAUCUCCAAAAGUAAAAUCCAGCCCGGUGCUGCGUUGUCACCAGACUCACUCACUAAAAAAGCUCCAGCGGUGGGAAACAUCAUAUUCAAUAGAAUAAAUACAGCUGUGCAGCUAUUAUGAUUGCAGCUAAAAUGCUUAGCCUAUUAUAUUCUAAACAGAAACACAAAUACAAAGUGCUAACCACUUAUUCAUACAAGCUGAGUACACCAUGUAAUCAGACGAUACCAUACAAUAUAUAUAUAUAUACACAUUAAGAUGUGAUUCUGCACUGUGAUGACUUCACUUAAUCUACAAUUCCCAAACUUAAAAAGUCUAACAAUGCUGUGUGAGAGUGAAAGGCUCGUUGGGUAACGUGGUGGGCGCAUGGGUUCUGACUGCCGGUUGGAUGUGAUGCGUGUGGCGCACAGCUGUGUUUUUAUAAUGGCACUUACUGCUUCACUGUGCAGCAUAUCGUCACUAACUUUCAUAAGUCAUUUUACCCGAGAAACGUUGAGACAAGACACUGGAUUUCAGAUCUAAAACCAGCUGAGGUUAAGACACCAGAGCACACGGGGACUCACGGAAAGCAGCUGCACUCGCUGUCUCGUGAAAGAGAGAAGUCUCAAAAGCAUCUUUAUGUAGAGCGGCUCACCAAUCAUUUGGCUUUAAGCGCCAAAGAAUUCCUCGUAUGCUUUUAAGAAACACGGCCCCACUUGAGAAUACAUUCACUAGUACAAAGCAGAAAUAGUACUUGACAACGGCUUCUCGAGCCCUUUGGUACACAUUCAUUCCAACAGGGUUCAGUUCACACACCGCAUCCAACAAGUCAAAGACAGAGCCACGCGUAACACGUGGGCAACGGUUGGGCCCAAUGCGCCUGAUAUCUGUACAGCUGAAACAAGAAAUAAAAAGUGCUCCUGGUCCAUUUCAUCAUCGUCUCCAGCUUCUCUGCCGCU